GUUCAUUUAAUCAAACUUAUAAUUCGGUGAACUGGGCAGCCUUGUUAUGUUUUCGAUGAUAUACUGUAGCCCGUGGUGAGGGCGCCAUAUGCUCCGGCGCACCACCUCCCACCUGAGUUUUGGCCCGAUAACCAAAAAAAUCUCUCCGAGCCCGAGUGCCGCCGACAAGGUUGGAGCUGGCAGCGGAAGGUCGCUAUCAGUCACUUCUUAUCUCGCCAGAUUUUGAUGAGAGGAAAGGGGAGGACGGCGGUGGUGCGGGGGUGUCUUAUAAUCUGAACGUGAAGGUCAACACUCUGCGAGGAAUCUGAUCAGGAGCGAAGGCAAGUGCAACGUUAAUAGUAUGCUGAAGUCCGUGAAAAGGAACAACAGAAAGUCUGGAAAGCAGAAAUCUCUUGAAGGUGUCUCGCCUGAGAGAAGAAGCUUAAGAUGAAGAUGGAAUAUCAUCGCCGUGGGACUCCCCAAUCUGCUUUAGUCAUUCCGUGACCCACAUUUGCACACCGGGAUUGGCUUUAUUUUUAGC